GGGGACGACAGGCUUCGACGUGGAAGUUCCGUGGGUGCAGUUGCGAGUCGAGGUCCCCGGUAGGCCUCGUUAAACCACCGGGAAACAAACAAGUGCGGAUCGUAAUCACGAAUUCGCGCUCGCUGCCUAGCCAAACCUAGGUUCGUGAGCUGUCGGCCUCCGCUCGGCCCGUGGCGGAGCAACCGGCAUAAGAGAACGGGCUCGCCCGCCGCGCUCGCCCCCGACGCGGCGGGGACAUCAAGGGGGCUGGUCCCCCGCAACCCUGCCGGCACGGCGAGCGGGAGAUGAGAUCAGAGAGCCGGCUACGCUCGUAGACGCUGUACCCGCUGCAUCCGCGGACGUGGGUUCAAUUCCCACCGUCUCCAUCG
rnacentral:tmRNA from 1 species